UUAAAUUUUAUUUAUUAAUUUUAAUAAUUUUUGAUUUAUUGUAUUAAAAAUAAUUUUAUAAAAAAAAGUUUUAGUAUUGUUUAAAGAAAAAAUAAAUUUAAUUAUAGUUUAAUAGUAUUGUAAAAGAAAAUU
rnacentral:rRNA from 1 species